AUAAUGUAUUGUUAGGUGAGGCUCCUAUAUAGAUAUAUGCUACUGCCCAAAAAUAUCGAAAGAUGCCAAUGGGUUAACAGGUACUACCGAAUUAAGGUUUUACUUAAUGUAGCUGGGAUUACCCAAAGCUAUAUAGUGCUAAAGCUCAACGAAAGAUAGUGUAU
rnacentral:sRNA from 21 species